CACCCAAAUAGUCUCAAAAUGACAGGCAGUUUAUGCAUGGUGUUUACGUCUAUCUCUCCCUAUCGGCCACGUUUUCAUGGAUAUGCCACUGAGCUGUUUGGCUCCCUUUCACACAUAUUGGUUUACUUCCUUGUUUGCAACAAAAAUGAAAAAACGAAGAGAAAAAUUAAAAUGAAGUUAGAAAGUGUAGUGGUUUCAGCAGCCAUUAAUAUUGGCUUAGCUAUUUUGAUUCUCUCUCUCUUCGCUUUACUCAAAAAACAACCUUUCUAUUCUCCGAUCUAUUAUGCUCGACAACUCUCUCUAGGUCACCGUAACCUUCCUGAUUCCGACGACCACCGAUCGUUUAGUUUCCGGCGGUUGCUUCCGGAGGUUGACUGGAUUUUUCGUGCGGUUCGGGUUACUGAGGAGGAGAUUUUAGAGAAUUGUGGCCUUGAUGUCCUCGUCUUGGUUAGACUCUUCAAAUUUGGGAUCAGAUUCUUUCUUCUUUGUUCUAUUGUUGGGCUUCUGGUACUUCUCCCGUUAAAUUAUACUGGGAGUACUGGACCAAAUACGAGCUCUGAUUCCAUGGAUGCUUUCACAAUAUCAAAUAUCAGCAGAGGCUCUGACAGGCUUUGGGUGCAUUUUUCUUUCUUGUGCUUCGUCUCAUGUUAUGGAAUGUACCUACUUUACAAGGAGUACAAUCACAUUUUUAUCAAAAGGAUUCAGCAGAUAUGUUACAGAAGGCGCGAACCUGAACAAUUUACCAUUCUGGUUCGAGAAAUUCCACUUUGCAAUGAGCACAAAAUUCGUGGCUGCAACGUAGACCACUUUUUUUCCAAACAUCAUCCAUAUUCAUAUCAGUCAUUUGAAAUCUUAUAUGAUGGGAAGCAUCUGGAUAAGCUACUAUGCCAGGCAAAGUCUCUCGCCAAAAAGAUUGAGGACCUGAGGCAUCUUUCUUCUACUAAGAAACAUAGUAAAUACGAUGCUAAAAUAGAGCAGCUGGAGGACAUGCUUCAAAUCCUUGGUCGUGAAAUAAGACGUGUACAGUGCAGAAUGACAAUUGAGCAGAAGGAAUUGCCGGUGGCUUUUGUUACAUUUAGUUCACGAUGGGGCACAGUUCUAGCUGCCCAAUCUCAACAACACACAAAUCCACUCCUCUGGAUCACUGAAAUGGCUCCAGAACCGAGAGAUGUGAUCUGGCAAAAUUUGGCAAUUCAAUAUCGUCAUUUGCCACUGUACAGGAUAGUGAUACUUGUUGCAGCAUCACUACUUACCAUCUUCUUCGUGUUACCAGUCACAGCUGUUCAGGGAAUUGCCAAAUAUGAUCGCCUGAAGAAAUGGUUUCCUCCUGCGAUGGCUGUGGACUUGAUACCGGGGUUAAGGUCCAUCGUCACAGGAUAUCUUCCCAGUGCCAUUCUUAAUGGUUUCAUAUACAUUGUUCCAUUUGCCAUGAUUGGACUGGCAAGAUUAGCUGGUUAUAUCUCGCGGAGUAAGAAGGAUUUAAAUGCAUGCAACAUGGUGUUCUACUUCCUGGUAGGAAAUGUAUUUUUCUUAAGCUUGUUGUCAGGAUCUUUACUAGAUCAAAUCGGCGAAUCAUUCUCUCAUCCCAAGGAUAUUCCCAACCGUCUUGCUAGUGCUGUCUCUGCUCAGGCAGAUUUCUUCGUGACGUACAUCCUGACAAAUGGGCUGGCAGGAUUCUCUUUGGAGAUACUUCAGCCAGGAUUACUUCUAUGGGAUACUCUAAAAUCUUACACAUGGGACCGUGGAAAGAAGAAACAUCCUUAUGUUUAUUCACUACCUUAUUAUAGAAUUGUCCCUUUUGUUUCUCUCUGCAUGCUGAUUGGGAUUGUUUACGCAGUGGUCUCACCUUUGCUUCUUCCAUUUCUAGUAGGCUACUUCCUUCUUGGAUAUGCUGUGUUCAUCAACCAGAUUGAAGAUGUGUAUAUAACUACAUACGAGACAUGUGGUCUGUAUUGGCCAUACAUUCAUCACUACAUUAUAGUUGCGAUCAUACUUAUGCAAGUCACAAUGAUCGGUCUUUUUGGACUGAAAGCCAAGCCUUCAGCUUCCUUCUCCGUUAUCCCUCUUCUGGUCGUCACUAUUCUCUUUAACGAAUAUUGCAAGAUUCGAUUUCUUCCUACUUUCAACCAAGUCUCAGUUCAGAACUGUUGCUGCUGCAUGGUGUUUUUGUUGACUAUAAUGCUGACAACAGCCAGGACUAAUCUGCUUUAGCAAAGCAAACAACUUACGUGGUGCUAGACAGUCAAAUGUAACUGCACCAGGUAUAUAUUACUUUUUAACUCAUCUGAGAAGGGUGGCAAUUAGGUCAUUUCCCCCCUGUCCUUACCCCACAAAGAAGAGCACUUGCUACGCACAGAUGAGCUUUUCUUGGUUUCCAAUAGUGCCUGUGUGGGAUGUACGUAAGCAUUGGUGGUAGUAUAUUGCAGUGGUACUCCACUCAGAAUUCCUACGCUAUGAAGCACCAAUCACUUCAAGGUGAAAGUGGCUGAAACACCACCUAGAGGAGACCAUCUGUAAGAGUGAAAUCAAUUUUGUGUCCCAAUCUCUUUUUGACUUUUCUCUGUGUUCGUAGCACUUGACUGGUGAUGUUUCUUUUGCCUAUGUUAGUCAUUACAGCAUGUAGCAUUUACCUGGUGAUCUGAGUGAUACUUGCCUCGUCUGCUCAGUCAUUACAACAUGUAGUGCACUUGGUUUGUGAGGAUGCCAAAAACAAUGAUGAACUUGACAAGAAGGAUGGAUUGGAGGAGGAGAAUGUCCGGAAGGCUCUUGAUGCUUAUUCUCCUCCAUGCUUGCGGCCCU